UACGAAGGGGGCUAGCGUUGCUCGGAAUUACUGGGCGUAAAGGGUGCGUAGGCGGUUAGUUAAGUCUGUUGUGAAAUCCCCGGGCUCAACCUGGGAUGGCAAUGGAUACUGGCUGGCUAGAGUGUGUCAGAGGAUGGUGGAAUUCCCGGUGUAGCGGUGAAAUGGCGUAGAGAUCGGGAGAACAUCAGUGGCGAAGGCGGCCAUCUGGGACAACACUGACGCUGAAGCACGAAAGCGUGGGGAGCAAACAGGAGUUAGAUGA
rnacentral:rRNA from 1 species